rnacentral:rRNA from 1 species
CUACGGGGCGCACCAGUAACGAAUACUGCGCAAUGGUCGAAAGACUGACGCAGCGACGCCGCGUGUAGGACGAAGCCCCUCGGGGUGUAAACUACUGUCAGGGGUAAGUAAGGCUUCGGCUUGAACUAACCCAAAGGAAGGCCCGGCUAACUUCGUGCCAGCAGCCGCGGUAAUACGAAGGGGCCAAGCGUUGUUCGGAAUCAUUGGGCUUAAAGAGCAUGUAGGUGGAUAAAUCAGUGUCUUGUGAAAUCCCACGGCUCAACCGUGGAACUGCAGGGCAUACUGUUUAUCUUGAGGCAAGUAGGGGUGUGUGGAACUCUGGGUGGAGCGGUGAAAUGCGUAGAUAUCCAGAGGAACGCCAGCGGAGAAAUCGGCACACUGGGCUUGUUCUGACACUGAGAUGCGAAAGCGUGGGUAGCGAACGGGAUUAGAUACCCGUGUAGUC